AUUGAACGCUGGCGGCAGGCCUAACACAUGCAAGUCGAGCGGAUGAAGGGAGCUUGCUCCUGGAUUCAGCGGCGGACGGGUGAGUAAUGCCUAGGAAUCUGCCUGGUAGUGGGGGAUAACGUCCGGAAACGGGCGCUAAUACCGCAUACGCCCUGAGGGAGAAAGUGGGGGAUCUUCGGACCUCACGCUAUCAGAUGAGCCUAGGUCGGAUUAGCUAGUUGGUGGGGUAAAGGCCUACCAAGGCGACGAUCCGUAACUGGUCUGAGAGAAUGAUCAGUCACACUGGAACUGAGACACGGUCCAGACUCCUACGGGAGGCAGCAGUGGGGAAUAUUGGACAAUGGGCGAAAGCCUGAUCCAGCCAUGCCGCGUGUGUGAAGAAGGUCUUCGGAUUGUAAAGCACUUUAAGUUGGGAGGAAGGGCAGUAAGUUAAUACCUUGCUGUUUUGACGUUACCAACAGAAUAAGCACCGGCUAACUUCGUG
rnacentral:rRNA from 1 species